rnacentral:rRNA from 1 species
ACGAACGCUGGCGGCGUGCUUAACACAUGCAAGUCGAACGGAAAGGCCCUGCUUGCAGGGUACUCGAGUGGCGAACGGGUGAGUAACACGUGGGUGAUCUGCCCUGCACUUCGGGAUAAGCCUGGGAAACUGGGUCUAAUACCGGAUAGGAGCCAUUUUUAGUGUGAUGGUUGGAAAGUUUUUUCGGUGUAGGAUGAGCUCGCGGCCUAUCAGCUUGUUGGUGGGGUAAUGGCCUACCAAGGCGGCGACGGGUAGCCGGCCUGAGAGGGUGGACGGCCACAUUGGGACUGAGAUACGGCCCAGACUCCUACGGGAGGCAGCAGUGGGGAAUAUUGCACAAUGGGCGCAAGCCUGAUGCAGCGACGCCGCGUGGGGGAUGACGGCCUUCGGGUUGGAAACUCCUUUCGCUAGGGACGAAGCUUUUUGUGACGGUACCUAGAGAAGAAGCACCGGCUAACUACGUG